GACGUAGGGCGCGAGCGUGUCCGGAUUUAUUGGGCGUAAAGAGCUCGUAGGCGGCUUGUCGCGUCGAAUGUGAAAACUCGGGGCUCAACUCCGAGCUUGCAUUCGAUACGGGCAGGCUAGAGUUCGGUAGGGGAGACUGGAAUUCCGGUGUAGCGGUGAAAUGCGCAGAUAUCAGGAGGAACACCGAUGGCGAAGGCAGGUCUCUGGGCCAUUACUGACACUGAGAAGCGAAAGCAUGGGGAGCGAACAGG
rnacentral:rRNA from 1 species